UUUGCUUUAUUUUAUUUUAUUUAUCUAUUUUGAGACAGAGUCUCGCUCUGUCGCUCAGAUUGGAGUGCAGUGGUGCCUUCUUGUCUCACUGCAACCUCUGCCUCCCAGAUUCAAGUGAUUCUGCUGCCUCAGCCUCCCAAGUAGCUGGGAUUAGAGGUGCCCGCCACCUCGCCAGGCCAAUUUUUUUGUAUUUUUAGUAGAGAUGGGGUUUCACCAUGUUGGCCAGGCUGGUCUCAAACUCCCGACCUCAGGUAAUCCACCCUCCUCAGCCCUUCAAAGUGCUGGGAUUACGGGAGUUAGCCACCACACCCAGCCAUGUUUUAUUUUAGGAUUUCAGGAUUGGUCACCUUCAUGUUAAAUGUGGCUUUCAAGCAGUGUUAAUGAAACUGCUCAGGAAGACAGAUGAGGCAGGUGUGUUAUCUGUACCCAAACAAACCUAGAGAAUAUUGGGCAUUGGCCUUGUUUUAAGCAAAUAUGCAGUUCAGCUCAAACUUAAUACACUCGGGUGUGUCCCCCAGCCCCAAUCCCACCCAGGCCAAUCUCCCAGGAUUGUAGGGAAGGCUUUCACUCCUGGAGAUGAGAUAAAGAACCACUGGAUGUGUCACUGACCCACAGGAACAGUGAGGCAGUGGGGAGGAAAGCUGCAAGGCACUGAUGAUUAGUAGCUUUAUGGACAGCAGUUACUGGAUAGAUCAUCAAGCCCCACAAGUGUUUGAUGGGUUUUCCUGUCUGCACUGUUGGCAGGACUUUUGUGUAUUGAUAUGUUCAGUUAUAUGUGAUAGUUGUAAGCCUUCAGUAGAGUAUAAAGAAUUUAUUUAUCAUAAAUGGCACCACAGAGAAUUUCACCAAUAAAUUUUGUGCAGUAACCAAGACACGGAAAGAGUAUCUCUUUCAUUGCUUCCAACAAAGCCUCUGUUGUUCCCAGACUGAUUUUAGCAUAGGAUUUAAUGUGGUAACAGAAGUGUCUAUGCUUAUCAGAUACAGCUGUUUAUCAGUGUGUAGCAGGUUAGGCAUCUAUUUGGUUUCUGGCAAAAAAAAAAGGAACAUCUUCAACAAGGAAUAUCAUCAGCUCUUUACAUUUAUAACAAGGAUUUACUGUUUGUAAUACUUACGUUUAAGGGAAACUGAUAGAGUAAUAAUGUAUCCAAAUCUACCUGUGUGUCUUCAGAACAGGACAAAUUGCUUACCAGUGUUCUUUCUACAUUUACUUUUCAGUUUAUAUAAAAGUAAUAUGGCCAGGCGAAGUGGCUCAAGCCUGUAAUUCCAGCACUUUGGGAGGCUAAGGUGGGUAAAUCACCCGAGGUCAGGAGUUCGAAACCAGCCUGACCAAUAAGGUGAAACCUCAUCUCUACUAACUAUACAAAAAAGUUAGCCAGGCGUGGUGGCAGGCGCCUGCAUCUCAGCUACUCAGCUACUCUGAAGGCUGAGACAGGAGAACUGCUUGAACCUGGGAGGCCGAGGUUGCAGUGAGCCGAGAUCAUGCCACUGCACUCUAGCCUGGGCAACACAGCAAGCUUCCAUCUCAAAAAAUAAUAAUAAUAUGCAAAGGAGAAUAAUAGUAAAGAAUUUGAAAGCCAUGAACUUACAAACAUUGUUCUGUAAGAAUCACUGUUUUGUUAUUGAGUAUCUUUAGAUUGUUCUGUAAUCUAAAGUUUUCCAGGACUUUUGUGUGCUAGCUUUUCCUAAUUAGAAAAAGCUACAUUUCAUGACUACUUCAUUGCCAUACAAUUCACAUAGGCUAAUGUUCACCUUUUUAAAAUGAAUGAUUCCACAUUUAAAGUUUUCCGUAUAUUCACCAAGUUGUGCUCUGAUCACCACUGUGCAAUUUCACAUUUUAUCAUUGUCUUAGUCUUAGCUUAUGCAAGAGGAGGAACUGAGCAGCUGCAGAUGUGACUGAAUCCAACGUGCCCUAGUGUCUUUUCUGUUGUUAUAACGGAAUAUCUGAGACUGGGUAAUUUAUUUGAAAAGUAAAUUUAUGGGAAGGGCUUGGGGCAGCGAAUAUGGCUGCGGUGGCGGCGGCCGCCGGCCUGGGUAGUGGCGGUGGCGCCGGCCCGGGACCCGAGGCCGGAGACUUCCUGGCCGGCUACCGGCUUGUAUCAAACAAGCUGAAGAAGCUGUUUCUGCGGAAGCUGAACGUGGCGGAGGCCGGCGAGCAGUUCGGACAGCUGGGCCGUGAGCUGCGCGCUCAGGAGUAUCUGCCGUAAGCGGCCUGGUGCCAGCUGGCGGUGGCGCGCUGCCAGCAGGCGCUCUUCCACGGGCUCGGGGAGGCGCUGGCCCUCACUGAGGCCGCCCGCCUCUUCCUGCGACAGGAGCGCGAAGCGCGCCAGCGCCUGGUCUGCCUCGCCGCCUACGGGGAGCCGCUGCAGGCCGCCGCCAGCGCCCUGGGCGCCGCGGUGCGCCUGCACCUCGAGCUGGGCCAGCCGACCCCCGCGGCGGGUCACUGCCAGCGCGCCGCCCAGCUCCAGCGCCGCGAUGCAUGCGCUCGGUGAGGCAGCCUCCUGCCAGCUGCUGGCGCGCGAUUACACCGGCGCCCUGGCGCUCUUGACGCGCAUGCAGCGCCUGGCGCGGGAGCACGGCAGCCACCCCGUGCAGCCGCAGCCGCUGCCGCCGCCCCCGCCGGCGGGGCCGCAGUUCGGGCCCGGGGCGACGCCCGCCCUACCGGCCGCACUGCUUGCUCCAAACGCCGGCUCCGCGGCGCCUUCUCCCGCCGCCCUGGGCACCUUCUCGGACCUACUGGUCCGCUGCGAGGUGUCCCGCGUUCUGCUGACGCUCCUCCUGCAACCACCGUCCGCCAAGCUGCUGCCGGAGCACGCCCAGACCCUGGAGAAGUACUCGUGGGAGGCUUUUGACAGCCACGGGCAGGAGAGCAGCGGCCAGCUUCCCGAGGAGCUCUUUCUGCUGCUCCAGUCUUUGGUCAUGUCUACCCACGAAAAGGACACGGAAGCCAUCAAGUCGCUGCAAGUGGAGAUGUGACCACUGUUGACUGUUGAGCAGAACCACCUCCUUCACCUCGUUCUUCAAGAAACCAUCUCCCCCGCAGGACAGGGGAUCUGACCCAUCCCACUCACCCGAUGGCUUUUUGCCCGGACGGGGAGGGUAUUCCCAUCAAUCCCGUUAACCAUAUGACUUUUUGCCUGUUACCAAACCUCACGCAUCCACGUUUGCGUCUGGGGAGACAUAAAAAGACACACCGUCCCAGCCUCUGCGUUUUAUGUUAUUCCUGUUGCCGCCAUAGGAAUUACCUCGUUGACUGAACGCUGCCUGCAUCACAAACUCCUGUUUCCGUAGCAGAGCGAGAGCAACACAUUUUCAUGGAACCGGAGUAGAGGACAUGGCUCACUUCCAAAAAGCCAUGACACGAAAAUGACAGCCCCUUUCGUCUCCUUCCUCCGCUUCUUCCACCGAACGCAGCCUCCUGCCUCCACCUUUGUUUCAUAGUGAGGAUUUCAUUUUGCGGCGGCUCCCUCCCUCUAAACACCCGCCGUAGAUGAUUUCAUCCUGCCCCUCAUUUCUUAACGUAUUUCUGUGUCUUUGUAAUGGCCAGAUUUCUCCUGCCACUCGUCGGCACAGUACGUCUUCAUGGGAGUCAUUUUAUUCCUUCCAGCUUCCUUGUAACCACAGCCCUGAAUCCAUGACAAAGCCACUCCUGUUAAAAAAAAAAAAAAAGAAAGAAAGAAAAAGAAAA